rfam:Nematostella vectensis strain CH2 x CH6 NEMVEscaffold_322_Cont23764, whole genome shotgun sequence.
GGUCCCAUGGUGCAAUGGUUAGCACUCUGGACUCUGAAUCCAGCGAUCCAGGUUCAAAUCUCGGUGGGACCU